AUUGAACGCUGGCGGCGUGCUUAACACAUGCAAGUCGAUCGGUAACAGGUGUAGCAAUACAUGCUGACGAGAGGCGGACGGGUGAGGAACGCUUGGGAAUCUGCCUAUCAGCGGGGGACAACCCGGGGAAACCCGGGCUAAUACCGCAUACGCUCUACGGAGGAAAACCGGGGACCGCAAGGCCUGGCACUGAUAGAUGAGCCCAAGUCGGAUUAGCUAGUUGGCGGGGUAACGGCCCACCAAGGCGACGAUCCGUAGUUGGUCUGAGAGGACGAUCAGCCACACCGGAACUGAGACACGGGCCGGACUCCUACGGGAGGCAGCAGUGGGGAAUAUUGGACAAUGGGCGAAAGCCUGAUCCAGCGACGCCGCGUGGGUGAAGAAGGCCUGCGGGUUGUAAAGCCCUUUCGGUAGGGACGAAAGCUCUCGACCUAACACGUCGGGAGGUUGACUUAACCUACAAAAGAAGCACCGGCUAACUCUGUGCCAGCCGCCGCUGUAAAAC
rnacentral:rRNA from 1 species